rnacentral:lncRNA from 1 species
GAAAAUAAUACGUCUCUUAGAAAGAGAUUGAUGGCUGUAUUUGGUACUUCUUAUGUAAUCUUUUUCAGUUCAUACAUUCAGCAUGUGAUUUUUGGUUUAUUAUUGAGGCAAAAAAGAAGUAUUUUUAUCUUGCCUUACUAUUAUUAUUAUUUUUUUGUUCAUUUCAAAGUUGAAAAAAUCAGUAAUGUAUAACUUUUUUAUCAUUUAAAGUAAGAACAUU